AAGGUACUAGUAAAACCGACAUUACACCGCCUUGUCAAGGCGGAAUUGUGAGUUAAACCCUCGCGUACCUUG